CCUACGGGAGGCAGCAGUGGGGAAUAUUGGACAAUGGGCGAAAGCCUGAUCCAGCCAUGCCGCGUGUGUGAAGAAGGCCUUCGGGUUGUAAAGCACUUUCAGUGGGGAAGAAAGCCUUGGGGCUAAUACCCUCGAGGAAGGACAUCACCCACAGAAGAAGCACCGGCUAACUCCGUGCCAGCAGCCGCGGUAAUACGGAGGGUGCGAGCGUUAAUCGGAAUUACUGGGCGUAAAGCGCGCGUAGGCGGUCUGAUAAGCCGGUUGUGAAAGCCCCGGGCUCAACCUGGGAACGGCAUCCGGAACUGUCGGGCUAGAGUGCAGGAGAGGAAGGUAGAAUUCCCGGUGUAGCGGUGAAAUGCGUAGAGAUCGGGAGGAAUACCAGUGGCGAAGGCGGCCUUCUGGACUGACACUGACGCUGAGGUGCGAAAGCGUGGGUAGCAAACAGGAUUAGAUACCCUAGUAGUC
rnacentral:rRNA from 1 species